AAAUAAAAUGCUGUAGUGCUGCUCCAAGGAAUUAGGCUGGCAAACGCUAUUUAGUCUGGCGCUGAAGAGCUCCUUCUUUGUAGGGGCAAACCAGCAGCCUUAGGGAAAUUCUUCUAAGGGUUCACAGGUCAAACAAAUGGCGGCCACAACCCGUGGUUUCAGAUAUGAUCGGCCCCAACCGUGAAGCGGAUGGCGAACUUGUGCGGAACCUGCGGAAGGAUCAUUACCGAGAGAGGGGCUUCGUGCUCCCGGGGGCUUCGGCCCCUAACUCUUCACCCGUUGUCUAUC
rnacentral:rRNA from 1 species